UACGUAGGUGGCAAGCGUUGUCCGGAUUUACUGGGCGUAAAGGGCGCGUAGGCGGCCUUCUAAGUCGAACGUGAAAUCCCCGGGCUCAACCCGGGAACUGCGUCCGAUACUGGGAGGCUUGAAUCCGGGAGAGGGAUGUGGAAUUCCAGGUGUAGCGGUGAAAUGCGCAGAUAUCAGGAGGAACACCGGUGGCAAAGGCGGUUCUCUGGGCAUGAUCUGACGCUGAGGAGCGAAAGUGUGGGGAGCGAACAGG
rnacentral:rRNA from 1 species